UGGGGAAUAUUGGACAAUGGGCGCAAGCCUGAUCCAGCCAUGCCGCGUGAGUGACGAAGGUCUUCGGAUUGUAAAGCUCUUUUGGCGGGGACGAUAAUGACGGUACCCGCAGAAUAAGCCCCGGCUAACUUCGUGCCAGCAGCCGCGGUAAUACGAAGGGGGCUAGCGUUGUUCGGAAUUACUGGGCGUAAAGCGCACGUAGGCGGAUUUGUAAGUCAGGGGUGAAAUCCCGGGGGCUCAACCUCGGAACUGCCUUUGAUACUGCAAGUCUUGAGUCCGGAAGAGGUGAGUGGAAUUCCUAGUGUAGAGGUGAAAUUCGUAGAUAUUAGGAAGAACACCAGUGGCGAAGGCGGCUCACUGGUCCGGUACUGACGCUGAGGUGCGAAAGCGUGGGGAGCAAACAGGAUUAGAGACCCUUGUAG
rnacentral:rRNA from 1 species